rnacentral:lncRNA from 1 species
UUGCUCUCUUCCUCUUCCUCCUUCUCUCUUCUCUGGAGCCGCCAUGAGCCCAACAAGAGAGGAUGCCAGCAUCCUUGAUCAGAUAAGUCUUAUAAAAUAUAUAGAUUAAUAAUUAUGGUUGAUACUUAAGACAGAGAUAGAAGAUAAGAAAUCCUAGUCAUUGGCCAGCAGCAUUGUACCUACUAUAAGUCUCUGUGUGUUAUUUUCGCUGCCCACAUGUGGCGUGGCUCAGGCAGCUUGGUGUAAAAACUUUUCAUUACAAAAUGGUGUCAGAAGAUUUAUUGUCACAGCUGUUGUUUUGUUUUGUUUUCCCCCUUGAAGUUUUGUUGUUUUUGCACUUAAAAAUUUAUAUUAUUUAUUGUGUGUGUGUGCCUGUCCAUAUGUGUGAAGGUCAGAUGACAACUUUUGGGGGUCGAUUCUUUCCUCCUAUGUGGGUCUUGGGGAUUGAACUCCAGUUGUCAGCCUUGGCAGCAAGCACCUUGACCCUGUGAGCUGUUUUCCAUCCUCUCUCCUCAGAUUUUAAAUAUUUUGUUCAGUAGCUUGGGAUAUUUAUUACCAGAGCAAAUUUGUUGUUUAUUGCUACUUGAGACAGUGCUGUAGCCUAGCCUCAAACUCCCAGUUCUGCUUCCUCUACCUACUGAGGGGCAGGGUUACAAACACUGGCUACCACAUCCAGUGUAAUGCAGAGGCCAGAGAUGGAAGCCAGGCCUUUAUACAUCCUAAGUAAGUAAGUGUUUAACCAACUGAGCAGCACACCUAUUCCCUAUCCCUAGGUUUUUAGAUGAGAUGGCACACAAAGAGGUUAAGUAAACCAUGUUAAGUUGCACAGCUGGGAAGUGCCUGAGGCAUUUUGAAACUAAGUUAUUUGCUGUGAAGAGCCCAUUGGAUGACUCACCUUAUUUGUGGCUCUUAAAUCUGUUGACAUUAUCCAUUUUCCAAAUUUCUUUUUAAUAACAAAUAUAGGAGAAUUCCAAGGAUUGGUUGAUUCUUCAAUAUUUUUUUUAAAGAUUUUUAUUUAUUAUGUAUACAACAUUCUGCUUCCAUGUAUAUCUGCACACCAGAAGAGGGCACCAGAUCUCAUAAUGGAUGGUUGUGAGCCACCAUGUGGUUGCUGGGAAUUGAACUCAGGACUCUCUGGAAGAGCAGCCAGUGUUCUUAACCUCUGAGCCAUCUCUCCAGCCCCAAUUCUUCAAUAUUUUAAGCAUUUAGCUCCUCUUGUACCAGCUUUCUAAGGCCUGUAAUUUUUCUGAUGUCAAAGGCCAUUGUUCUACUCACACUGGUUUGUCAAUUAACCAUUUCGAAAGUAGGGCUGUUGGUACUUUUGAAGAAUCAGCUGUUAUGCCUUAGUUGUGUGUAACCUGAACAGUCAGUGAUUGUUCUUGAUAAUACCUUUUUAUUUUCCUUUUUCUUUCUGUUUUUUUUUGAGACAGGGUUUCUCUGUAUUGCUUUGCAGGCUGUCCUAGAACUCACUCUGUAGACCAGGCUGGCUUGAACUCACAGAGAUUCGCCUGUCUCUGCCUCUCAAGUGCUGGGAUUAAAGGCAUGCACCACCAAUGCCCUGGUUUGAUAAUACCUUUUAAUAUUUUUCUCAGAAGCAUACAUUAGAUUAUGGUUUGUUUCUGAGAUUGGAGGAUUGUUAAUCUGUGUUUUCCAUUGCUGCAACAAAUCAUGUCCCUAUAAAUUCAUUGCUAUGUUAGCCACAUGUGGUUAUAAUUUUCCUGUCUGUCCUUCUGGCCCUAUGCACUCCACCCAUCUUGCACUCUGUUUUUACCUGGGAUAAAAUUCCAAUCUCUACAAGCUGAACAUUUACUGCCUGAAGAGGCCAAUCUGGAUGGAUGCCAAGAUUGUGGUGCAGGUAUUGUUACAUCUGCACCCGUUUCUACCAAGCCCUCAAUUUCAAUGUGAUUUAUUUGUAUUUUUAGCUUUGGUCUUUGAUCAUUUAUAGCAGUUUGAAUUAUCUCUAAAAGAAAACUUGGUUCUAGGUACACAUUUCCUAAAAUCUCUUUUCAGAUGACCUUAUUUACCACAAUUAAAAAACAUCUGAACUUUUGAUUUUCUUAAAAUUUUUAGAAAUGACUUCUCCUAUCCAAGUAUUAUCAUAAAUGUGAGAUCCAAUGUCAGCUGUAUUUCAGAUCCUUUCAACUAUGGGUGCUGAUCUUGUCUUUAAAGACCUAAUCACCUUUUGCAUUCUGAAUUAGUACCUUAAAAAGCCAAAGAUCCAAUUAAUAUUUGUCUAACUUCUGGAUCUGAUAUCAUUCUAUUUAUAGCUGAAGUUGAUCUUUGUGAAAAAUCAGUGAAAGCUUCUUUUGGGUCUUGUAUAAUUUUAGUAAAUGACUCAGUCCUCUUUCCUGAUUCUUCAACCCUGUCUCAGGCAUUCAAAGCUGCUGCAUGACAUAGAGCCAAGGUGUGAUCAUCAAAUGCAGACUGUCUUUGUGAAUCAGCCUAGUGGCCUUUACUGAGAAGCUGAUCUUGGAACAUUUCAUACCUCUACCUCUACUUUGUUGUUUUAUGACUCUAGCUUCCACUCUCCUUCAUUUUUUUCCCAUUGUAGCUGAAAAAAGCUUCCAAUAUUGCUGUAGCUAAAUCUCUCCAGUCUUGUGGAAUAAUUCUUUCCCUAGUUGUCCAUGAAUUUAACAUCUGCUUCAUAAAGGGUGAAUGCAUGCCAUAUGAAAUGACUUCUUCCUUAAAUCUCCAAAUCUAAUGUUUCUACAGGAUCCCAGUUAACUUCUACAUAGCCUUGGAGGUACCUAUCAUCUGGUGGUCUUUUUUGUGUGGUAAUUGGAUAAAUGGAGGUUGGUUUUCUAAUAACCUUGGGCAGCUCCUCUUCAGUUUCAUCAUGCAAUGGUGUGGGAGGUUCUGCUCUAAAUUCCUCUGUCUAUGUCAGAGCAUUUUUCUUAUUUUCAUUAGUAUGUCUUUGUAAAUAUUUUUUCCUAUCAAUAGUAAGUCCUUCUAAGACUUGUAUAUUAUCAGCCAAAUUUUUAUCUUUGUUAGUAAGUCUUUCUAAGACUAGUAUCUUAUCAAUAAAACUUUUCUUAUUUUCAUUGAUAAGUCUUUCUAAAGCUUGUAUCUUAUCAACAGUAAGUCUUUCUAUGUUGUGUAUCUUUUCAGUCAUAUUAUCAUAAUUGGCACAGUUAUCAAACUACGUUUUUUUAAGGGUAAAAUAUUAAUUACCAAACUGAUAGUAAUUACAAUCUAUAUUAUGCCAAUCCCAGCUAUGUCAUUUAUCUCUUCAUUUAAAUUUUCCUUCUCAAACCAUCCAUAGUAGCACUAUACAGGGUCCUAGCACCCUGUAUUGUAAUGUUCCCCAUCCUUUAGGUGGGAAGGAUUUUUCUUUUUGAUAUUAUUCCACUCUCUCCUAAAGGACUUCCCAGAUAUCUCACCAAGUCUGCUGACUUCACAGUUUUUCUGUGGUGUUGGUGGUGAACUCAAGGCCCUCUUGCAGUUUCUAAGCAUGAACCUGCUUUCUAAAGUUCCAGCAUCCAUGGGAGAGCUGCUGGCAUGACUUCUCUGUCCAUGUGGUCAUGCCAUGCAGAAAGCACCAAAUGUUUUAUCUUUGGCACAGUGGCUGUGCCUUAAUCUACUGCUAUUUCAGCCAGAAAUUGCUGCUCCACAGUUACCAGCCUGCUUCUCUGGCAGCAGUCUGGCUAUAGCCUGGUGGGAAUUCUGUUCCUACAGGCACUGACUCUGCCAUUGCCACUAAUGAUAGCUUUUUUUUUUAUUUUUUGAGACAGAGUUUCUCUGUGUAGCUUUGGAGCCUAUCCUGGCACUCGCUCUGUAGACCAGGCUGGCCUCGAACUCACAGAGAUCCGCCUGCCUCUGCCUCCCGAGUGCUGGGAUUAAAGGUGUGCGCCACCAAUGCCCAGCCCACUAAUGAUUGCUUUAACUAAAUCUCUGUUGUUCUGUUUAUAAACAAGACUUGAGAUUCUGAGGCUAGCUCAGAGAGGUUGAGUAGCAAGCAACUAACCUUCUCUUCUUCCUAGUGUCUCCCAAACAGUAUGUUUCUUCUGGUCUGCCAAAACAAAAAGAAGCUGCACCGCUGAAAUCCCUCCCUUCUCCUUCCGGUGCAUCUCUCUGUCUCUCCCAGAUGUCCUCUGAUGCUUUAUAACUUCCUGUCAAUUAGUCAAACUCAGCUUUCAGACUCAAGGUUAACUUUAUUUAAUUAAUGAAAAUGCUAACUAGGGGUUCACAGUGUGAUCGAAUAUCCCUUAGUAGCUGGUUAUAGCGCAUAGUGGGCUGGCUUAUGUCCUCUUGACUAGAUGUGCCUAAGAACCCCCAAUGUGAGCAGAUUUGGAAAGUAAGCCUGCAGGUGUCAUACAGAUACAGAUAGCCUCUGAGAGGAUGCCAUCUGGGUUAGUGUAAGUCCUAAGAGAUGCACAAGAGAGAGGAGUCACAGGAAGACAAGCCAAGGAACACUGGGAAGAGCCAAAAGCCAGAAGAGUGCAGCCCUGCCCAUGCCUUGCUUUGGGACCUCAAACUUCCAAAAGCUGUAGGAGAAUAAAUUCUUUAAAAAAGGAUUCAGUUUAAUUUUAUACAUAUGAGUGUUUGGCCUAAAUAUAUGUGUGUGCACACCACAGGUAUGCAGUGUCUGUGGAGGCAGGCCAAGAGACGGUGUUGGAUCCCCUGGAACUGGAGGUUCAGAGGCUUGUAAGUGGGUGCUGGCAACCAAAUCUAGGUCCUCUGGAAGAGCAGGGGGUGCUCUGAGCUGUCACUUUCUUGCCCGUUAUGGUCACCUUUUAUCCACAGCCAUAGAAAAACAUACAGAGGCCCUCUAAAGCCUUAAGGAAGCCAGGCAUGAUGGCAUAGGCCUUUAAUUCCCGUACCAAGAGGGCAGUGCAGAGGCAGGUGGAUCUCUGUGAGUUUGAGGCCGGUCUGGCCAACAUAGUGAGUUCUAGGUUAGCAUGGCUAUAUGCUGAGACCUUGUCUCAUUAAAAAAAAAAAAAAAAAGGACACAGGCAUUUAAUGUCCCCCCCACCCAAGACCUUAAGUAUCCUGGGACUCUGCUACGGGCUGUGUGUGUGGGCUGCACACCAGGUCCUCAGUUUAUCUGCAUUCUCAGCUUCUUUAACACAGGCAUACACAUCACAGACACACACAUACACACACACACACACCAGUGACAGGCCUGUCUCUGCAUAGUGAUGCAGCCCUUGCUUUCUGCUGUCAGCAAGCCUCAGCAGUUCAGGAACCCUGGCCUCCCUACUGACAGUGGGUGACUUGAGUGGCUCCUGCUUGCCAGGGUACAGGACCAGGGUCACGGUUUUCUGUUGAAGAAAGAGUUUAGGGUUUGAUAAAUGCCCAUUUAAUGCUGGUCCAGAGCUGGCUAACCACCAGCACAACCGUUGAUGGGGAAUGUACUGUGUAUGUUUAUCUUAUUGAUUGUUAAAUAAAAUACUGUUUGGCCAAUGAGACAGCAAGUAGACGGGACUAGGAGUCAAAGAGGAUUCUGGGAAAUGUAGUAGAGAAGUCUGAUCCAGGCAGGAAGUGACAUAGAAAGGAGACUCAUAUUUAAGCUAAGGAGAAACAGGAAGGGUCCCUUUUUCCCCUCCGCUCCUGCUCCAGUGAUCCACCAGCAAGGAGGGACGCCAAUAAGGUGUCCGAUAAGAUAAGUCUUAUAAAAUAUAUAGAUUUAUGAUAAUUAAGACUGAGUCAGCAGAUGAGAAUCCUAGUCAUUGGCCAAGCAGCUUUGAACCUAAUACAGGUUUCUGUGUAUUUAUUUGGGCCUAACUCGGGCAGGCGGCUGGCGUAAAGCUCGCACGUGGCGGUGGGGCUCAAGCAGCAUUUGGCAGAAAGAUUUAUCAUAACAAACUAUCAUCAUAGUUAGAGAGGGGUUGGGGGCUGAGGCCCUGUGGUCCUUCCUCCCUGACUCAAGCCUGAUUUUGCCCCAUAACCCUUCUUGGGCUAUAAUGCUGGAGGAAGCAAGUAGCACCCUGAAAAGGAGGGUUUCGGGAUACCCGGGGCCUUGUGGGGAGCUGGGGACACCGGCAUGUGGAUGGAGUUGUACACAAAGUGGAGAGAGGAGAGUGGCUGGCUGAUGAGGCCUAAAUGACCUCAGGUGCCCAGGCCUCAGGCACGGAAAGGGCAGCUAUCGCACAGUGGUAGCCCCACAGUCCCACAGGAUCUGCUGAUGUGUGUGUGUCUGUGUGUGUGUUAAAGUAUGUAAAGAACGUAACAUUUACCAUCUCAACCAUUUUAAGUGUAUGGUUUGCAAAUGGCAUUACUCAUAUUUUAGAGUCUAUUUAUUUUCCCUUCUGUGAUGCUGGGAUUUGAACCCAGGGUCCUCCUUGCCCAUGUUAGGCAAGUGAGCUCUACCACUGAGCAGAAGCUCCAACCCUGCUUUUGCUUUUUAUUUUAAGACAGGGUCUCACCAAGUUGUCCAGGCUGGCCUUGAAUUUAUAAUCCCUCUGCCUCCACAGCACGAGUAACGAGUUUUGCCCCAAAGCUUAAUGACUUCAAAUCUCAACCCAUUAUUAAUCACAAACUACUAUAUUAUAGAUAAUAUGAAUCUAUUAUGGACUAUCUGGUCUCUUCAUUUUGAGGGUCAGAACUUAUGAAUCUGUAUAUUUUGAAAAGGGAUCUCACUGUGUGGCUCUGGCUGACCUGGAACUUGCUAUGUAGACCAGGCUGGCCUUGAACUCACAGAGAUCUACCUGUUUCUGCUUCACGUUCUGGGACCAAAGGUGUGGGCCAUCAGACAUGGAAUCAUAGCUUCUCUCUGUAGUCCAGACUGGUCUUGCAUGCUCUAUGUUGCUCACGUGGCCUCCAUUUCUCUUCUCAUCUCUAACUUUCCAAGUGCUGCCUCCCCCACCUCAGGGUGCCUGACUCAAGCUUUUCUGCUGUCUCAAAGACAGACAUACAAAUGCUUCCUGCCACCCCACUCACAAAAGUAAGUUUCAGAAUGACCAAUCCAAAAUGAUGGCCUGAGCACUGAGCUUGAUGGAAGCCACAUAUUAGACCCCAGUAGCGAUGUAAAGGUGUGCAUGCAGGUGGUCCCCAUGUCUCAGGGAAAAGGAGGUAAAUAUGAUCAGAUCAGAGUCUUUUUUAAAAAUGUAAAUGUAUGUAGGAUCAGUGGGAUGGCCUGAGUUAAGGAGCUUAACAUCGUUUCUGGUGACUCGAGUUCACUCCCCGGACCUACACGGUAGAAAGUGAGAAUGGAUUCUAGCAAGACAUCCUCAGCCCUUCGCUCACAUGCUGUGACAUGUACAAGUCCCUCUCCCCAAAUAAGUGCAAUGAAAAAUUAAAAACACACGUGGGGGGCUGGAGAGUGGGUGGUCAGUGGUUAAGGGCACCUGUUGCUCUUGCAGAGGACCCAGGUUCGAUUCCUAGCAGCUAACAAUCAAUCACCUGUAAUUGUCGUUCCAGUGGAUCCCUUGUCCUCUUCUGAUCUCUGAGGGCACCAAGCAUUCUUGUGCUACAGACAUGCAGGCAAAACAUUCACAAAAAAUUAAAUAAAGCUCAUAAAGAAUUUCUGAAAAAUUUUAAAAUAUAUGUAAUUUAUUUAGUUAUAAAAAGCAAACAGAUGCUCACCAGGGAAAAUUGCCUGGUUUCUGUUGGAUGUGGUGGUGGAAAUACUUUGAUAUUACCAUACAGCGAGGAUGGCAGCUGGAGCACUCCUUUAAUAAAAAUAAUGUCCUGAAGCCAGGUGUGCUGGAGAAUGUCUUUAAUCUAAGCACCUACAAUGCAGAAGCAGGAGUCUCGCUGAGUUCAAGGCUAGAGAUGUGCAGUGAGACCUGUUUGGAAAAAAACAAAAGCUUUUGUCUCUAUCCUCUAAGCCUACACAGGUUUAAACAUCUCAGAGAUAACUGUGCGUUUCUCAAUGAGGCCGAGGAACUAAGACGUGUCUUCUUGUAGAGCUCUGCUUUUCACUUCCUCUUUUUGUCUGUUGACCCCAAAGACCACUUUCCAACUAUUCCAAAACCAGCUCAGAGGAUUCUGGAGCUGGCUCAGUUGGUGAAGUGCUGGCAGCACAGGCCCUGGGACCCGAGUUCAGGUCCUCUUCACCUCUGUACUUGGCAAGCAUCAGUAAUCCUCGCACAGGGGCGGUGGACACAGGAGGAUUCCUGGGUGGCUAUCCAGGCUGUCUGAAUCAGUGAGCUCCUGGGCCAGUGAGAGACCCCAUCUCAAACAACAGUGGAGAGUGAUUGAAGAGAAUACAAGGUGUUGACCUCUGGCCUCUACACCCACCAUGUGUGUACUCGCACACUACACAAGUUCACACACACACAGAGAGAGAGAGAGAGAGAGAGAGAGAGAGAGAGAGAGAGAGAGAGAGAGAGAGCCACUGAAGUUCAUUUUUGAGUGCAGUUUUCAUGUGCCAAGGUCUCAUACUAGCUCAGGCUGGUUAUAGACUUUUACACUUGUGAUGAGCCUCCUGCUUUAGCUUUCCAAGUGCUGAGAUGAUUGUCAAGAGUGACGUGUCCAACUAGGCCCUGAGGUCUUAACUGGUCAAUUUUUAGAACACAGAGAGUACAGUUUUACAAACUAAGCAGCACACUGAUAUUACGGUGAAUAACUAAUACAUAGCCCCUAAGGUCAGGAUAUCUCUAAUAGGUAAAGGCCAACCAACAGGAAACUAGAUCCAGUCGAAGCAGCAGAGAAAAGAGAGAUACCAUGUGCCUUAGCUAUCCCUUUAAAUUUUUUUCUACAUCACCUUGACCACACCCUAGUGGGUGUGGUUGGGCACACUUGUAGCCAGCCGUUAGGAGGAGUGAUUAUGGUGUCUCCCUACAUACUGAGUUUAAAGGGUCUGGCCACUAUCACUCUGCUUUAACGGUCUAGCUCAACCCCUUCUUCCUCUCCCAUCCUUUGUAGUGUCUUUAGGAACAGGUUUGCUCACUCUCAAGUUUCUAGAUGGACCAAGGCUCUAGGCAAUUAAGAAUAAAUAGUAUCGCCACCUGCAUUUUAGAAGGAGGGAGUGUGAGAUUCUAUGAGGUUCAGAUAUCAUGACCAGGGUCAAGGUCAAACAGCUUGUUUAACCAAAGUUUAUGUCCAUAGCUCCUCUAGAAUAAGACUGUACUGCUGAACCAAGUAUGAUGACACACAAUGGUCUCUACUCAACAGAAUCAGGCGGGGGAAGCAGGAGGAUUGUUAUAAGUGAGAGCCAGCCCAGUCCCAUUGAGAGUCCCGGCUAGUUAGGGUUGCCGAGUGAGACUCUAUCUUUAAAACAAAACAAAACAAAAACAAAGGUCAGGUGUGCUGACGCACACCCUUAUUCCUAGCCCUCAUGAGGCAGAGGCAGAGGCAGGCAGAUCUCUGUGAGUUCAAGGCCAACCUGGUCUAUGAAGUGAGUUCCAGGACAGCCAGGGUUACACAGAGAAACUCUGUCUCGAAAAACAAAAACAAAAAAAACAAAACAAAACAACCCCCCCAAAAAAAAACAAAAAAAAAGAGAAAAAAAGAAAAGGAAAAAUUAUAUUUCAUCUCCUCUGCUUUAGGCUCUUUUUCUUAUUUCCGUGGUACAGUACUCGGACAAUACAAAACAAGUGGAGUGAGGAAGAGUUUGUCUUUGCUCACAGUUGCAACGUAAAGUCCAUCACUGUGGGAGGGCAUGUAUAGGUGCUGCAGGGAGCGGGGCCUCCCGUAAUCACACCCAAGGGGCUGAGAAGAAUUCUGGGGCUCAGCUUGUGCUCUCCCAUUUUGUUAUUUAUUUAUUUAUUUGUUUGUUUGUUUAUUUUUUGAGACAGGAUCUCACUGUGUAGACCCAGCUAGCCUGGAACCCGAUCUGUAGACCAGGCUGGACUUGGUUUACAGAGAUCCGCCUGCCUUUGCUUCGCAAGUGUUGGAAUUAAAGGUGUGUGCCAGUGGUGGUACCACUCUGGGUUAAACUGUCCAGGAUCCCCGGGCAGGGAUUGACCCCUCCCACUGUGGGUGGAGCUUCUCACCUCAAUGAAAGCAACCAAGGUGAUUCCCCACAGGCAUGUCUGGUGAACCAUUUACCCAGUGAUUCUAGGUUCUGUCAAGUUGGCAACGCCAAUAUUAUGGCCUCCUUUCUAGAUCUUUCCCAGCCUUGCACACUCACGGUCUCUGCUUGCAUUGGUUACCUUUUUUCUGCUUGUAAUGAAAUACCAGAUAGAAGCAACUUAGGAAGGAAGGCUUUAUUUCGGCUAGCCAUGGUGGGAAGGCAGGGGAGGGUGGCUUUUGGCUGUGGUGGCAGAGCAUAAGGUUAUCCCAUACUUGUCUGCACCAGGAAGCAGAGCUGGGACAGGAAAUGGGUCUGGGCCAUAAACAUGGAGUUGGGUCUCCAGUGACCUACUUUAUCCAGCGAGGCUCCAUCUCCUAAGUAUUCCACAGUCUCUCAAAAUACCACCUGUGUUCUAACGAGAGGGCCUGUGGGGGCCUUCUCACAACCAAAUCAUAAUCUCACUUGAAUAGCUGAUAAGCAACUGAGAUGGUUUUUAAAAAUAUUUGCAAAUCAUGUGUUAUGACUUCAGAGAGUGGAGCUAAAUUUCCCAUUUCGUGUAGGGGGGUUGAGUUGAUAAUUAGAUUAUACCUGACACAGUACAGUCCUGACUGGAAUGAUGGAAUAUGAUUUCUGAGACUAGGUAUUGAGAUAGUGUGAAUAUUGCCUUGACUUUUGGGUGGCUCAGGGGCAGCAAGGAAUUGAAAUUCCCUGCCAGAAGUGCGGGGUGCCAUUUUGGGGGUGGGACAGGUGCCAUUUUGAAAGUGGGACAGGUGCCAUUUUGAAAGUGGGACAGGUGCCAUUUUGGGAGUGGGACAGGUGCCAUUUUGGAAGUUGGUCCUCUCCCCCUAGUUGAGCCUUCAGAUCCUGCAACCUAAGGUGACCUCUAGACUGCCUCCUGAAAGGCCCUCAGGAGAACUGCCUCUGCUUUUCUCACUUAGACUAAUAGAAACGUAGACAAAAUGUUAUGUUAUGUGCUGGGGAAAUUUAUUAUGUAGCAUUAACUGGUAGAGCAUUUCCAAUGUGACGUGUCAAAGUUGAACUUCUGAUCUUCCCUCUGCAAACAUAAUCCUCCAUGCUCAGGAAACAGCAGUGCCAGCCUUUUGAUAUUUUUAAUCUCAGGCUAAGACCUUGAAGUCAUCCUCAGAGCCCAUCUUGCUUUCACAACACAAAUCUACCAUAAGGCCAAUUGUCAUGGUUUUAAUUGAAAAAUGUGCUUAAAACCCAACCAUGUCUUCCUAUAUCUUUAGUUACCACAGCUACCCUGGUCCACCCCAGCAUACUAGGCUGAUGGCAUCAGGUCUCUACCCAACCUUUCUUCUUUUGUGGUUCUGAGACUCAAUUCCAAGUGCAGUAUCCAGAAGCAUCCUUUGAAAACACAGGCCAGGCCUGUGAGGUGGACCCAUUGGUAAAGUGUUUGCUGGGCAAGCCUGAAGACCCGAGUUCAGAUCCCUCUCCAUGUAAAAAGGAGCCAUGGGGGAACAUGUCUGCUUGUGGAAGCAGGGACAGAGAGUCCCAAGGGCUCCCUAGCUAGCCCAUCUAGCUGAGUGGCUAAGCUCUGAGUUCAGUGGGAGACCCUGUCUCAAAUAGGUGGUUUUGAGUGACUGAAGAAAACACCUGAUGUGGUUAGAUCUCUGGCCUGCCUGCACACGUAAUGUAUACAUGUAUGCACGCCCACAUGCACAUGUGUACACAACUGCACACAUAUGUGCAUUUGAAGGGGCCAGCUCCCCAUUUCGGCAGCCAUAACAGCCGAACACGUGCUUGUCUGACCUUGCCUUGGUCACUAGGAGGUCAGAUGCCUGCCUUGUGGCAAGGAACCAAUCAGAAGUUAGCUGGUGGUGCUAUGCUUUACAACUCAGGGUGUGCUUUAUGGACACGUGAACAGCAAUGACGCACAGAGCAUAGCAACCACCCUGGGAGGGCCUAUGGGCCAUAACAGCCAGUUGACCAAUCAACACAGGGUAAACCCUCCAAGCCUGGAGGCACACCAAUCCUGAGCCUGUGGGUACCCCUAGACACUCCCCUUACACUGCCCUACAAGAUCUCUAUGCAGACGUUUCGAGCUGUCUUUCCUAGCCGUCCGCCAUGGCAGGUGGAUGAAAGACCCGAGCUAACAUGGGGUUAGCUCGUUAAACAACUACAAUAAAGCCUCGUGCUGUUUGCAUCAAGCUUUCGACUCUGCCUGGUGAUUGGGGUCAUUGCAGUCCUGGACUGAGAUCCUGGGGGCCUGAGCCUCUGGGGGUCUUUCACAUCCAUUAACACACACACAGAAAACACCCAAAACGGUUUCCUUACAGUUACCCUUCCUUCAGAUCUGUGAACUGCACCCCCCUCCCCCUACUUCUUAGUUCCUUGUUCAGAUGCCCCUUCUCAGUGAAGCCCCUGGGCAGUCUCUAGUUUUUAUUUCAUUCAUUUACUUGUGUUCUUUCUUAUUUUUCACAACAGCAGCAUCACAGUCAGGGUUUCUACUGCUGUGAUGGACACCAUGACCAAGGGCAACUUGGGGAGGAAAGGGUUUAUUUGGCUUAUACUUCCACAUCACUGUUCAACAUUGAAGAAGUCAGGACAGCAGCUCAAGCAGGGCAGGAACCUGGAGGCAGGAGCUGACACAGAGGCCAUGGAGGGGAGCUGCUUACUGGCUUGCUUCCCAUAACUUGCUCAGUCAGCUUUCUUAUUGAAGCCAGACCACCAGCCCAGGAAUGGCCCCACCCACAGUGGGCUGCCCCCCCCCACACUGAUUAAGAAAAUGCCCUACAGGCUUGCCCGCAGCCUGAUUUUACAAAGGCAUUUUCUCAGAGUUCCCUCCUCUUUCAUGACUAUGCUUAUGUCAAGUUUACAUAAAACUAACCAGUAUAAACAACUUAUUUUUUUUUUGUCUGUCCUGGAACUUCCUUUGUAGACCAGGCUGGACUUGAACUCAGAGAGAUCUGCCUACCUCUGCCUCUGGAGCGCUGUGCUUAAAGGUUUGUGCCACUGCUGCUGCCCAGCUAUUACCAAUUUCUUAACAAGGCAAGGUUGUUGCCUAAUUUGUAUGAUGCUGUUGGAUCCCCAGCACCUUCCUUUUUUCCUAGAAGUCCAUUAUUUUAUUUUAAUUUAUUACUAUUGUGUGUGUGUUUGUGUGUUCGUGUACAUGCCAUAGCACAAGUGUGUUGGGUGUCAGAGGACAGCUUUGGGGAGUCAGUUCUUUCUUCCACUGCGGCUGCUGGGGAUGGAACUCAGGUCAUUUAGACUCGAAGAGCAAGCCUUUAUUAUCUGCUGAACCAUCUCACUGGCCCCACUUUUGUUUUAAAAACUGUGGUGCUCAGCUUAUAUCUGAGCCACCUGGGAACGUUGAGCAAUCCAAACGCCCAAGACACCCAACACAAUCACGGGUCCCCAGCUGGUGUCAGAAGGAACCUAGGAGGUAGGAGGAGGCAUCCCUGUGACUCCCCAUUGCAUUUGUCUUCUAAUCUCUCUGCAAAAUAUAUUAUUUCUGCUUUAACAGAGGCAAGGAAAAUAGUAAAGUACAUCGAAAUUGGUUUGUAUUAAAAAAAACUCCUCCAUACUUAGGGUAAUAAAUUACAGACAGAGGAUCCAAUAUAGGCUAUAAAUUGAGUAUUUUAGUGUGAGUAGAGCUGUAGUGAGUGUUCCUUUGGGGAUUAGGGUUUAUUUCCUAAGCUUUUGUUCACUACGUCAUGAGUCUUUUCAAUAAAAACGAUCUCUUUGGCUGACGGCUAGAUGAACUCUGCAGUGAAGAAGGGGAUUAUGGGGUGUGGUUCACUUUGAAAGCAACUCUGGGAAGAUGUUUCAUGGCCAAAUAUUUACUAAGGUCCCCUAACAGGCCUGGGGAAUCUCAGAGUCCCCAGAACAGCAGUUUUCAAGCUGUGGGCUGUGACCUUUUUGGGGGUCACAUAUUAGAUAUCCUGCAAUCAGAUAUUUACAUUAUGACAUAUUACAUAACAAUAGCAAAAUUACAGUAAUAAAGUAACUUUAUGGUGGGGGGGGUCACCACAGCAUAAGGAGCUGUAUUAAGGGGUCACAGCAUUAGGAACCACUGCCCUAUCAGGAAGGUCUAGGUGAACUCAUGCCUUAGAUGAUGAACCUAUCCUGGUGAUAACAACAUUCAUUCCCUGGCAAGAUCUAAUUGCCUUUAAAAAUAUUUCUUUUAUUGGGACUGGAGAGAUGGUUCCAGGCUUUACAGUAUUUAUUGCUAUUGCAGAGAACCUGGGCUUAAUUCUCAUCCCCUACAUGGUGGCUCGAAACAUCUGUGGCUCCCGUCCCAUUCUCAGUGAUUUCACACUGUCUUUUGGUGACAUGGUGACACACACACACACACACACACACACACACACACACACACACACGACACUCCUACCUCUGUGUGUGCCUGGGGUCUAUUGUUCCGAGCACCUUGUGGGUGCUGGGAAGCAAACUCAGGUCCUCCAGCAGGCAGUGUUCUUUUUUUUUUUUUUUUUUUUUUAGAUUUUAUUUAUUUAUUAUGUAUACAACAUUCUGCUUCCAUGUAUAUCUGCACACCAGAAGAGGGCAGCAGAUCUCAUAACGGAUGGUUGUGAGCCACCAUGUGGUUUCUGGGAAUUGAACUCAGGACCUCUGGAAGAGCAGUCGGUGCUCUUAACCUCUGAGCCAUCUCCAGCCCGCAGGCAGUUUUAAUCACUGAGCCAUCAUCACUCCAGCUCCCCCCAUUGCCUCUUAAAGGUACCAUCCAUCAACGGUGUUAAAAUGACAAACAACACCAGCUUUGUUUUUUGUUUUUGAGACAGGGUCUCAGCUAUGUAGCUGAGGGUGACUUUGAACUCCUGAUCCUCCUGCCUCUACUUCCCAAAGUGCUGGGGUUACAGGUACGUACCACAAUUCCUGGAUUGCCUCAGGAUUUUGAAAGGACAAUUAUUCAAACCACAGCAGUCCAUCCAAUAUAGUGACCAGCUGUGGAGACUGCCAAGUACUUGAAAUACAUGAAAUAAGUAUGACUGGUUCAGACUCAAUGUGCUGCUCAUGUAAAUAUGCCUAGGAAUUUGGAGACUUAGAACAGGAAACAAACAAACAACAAUAAAAAAGAAAAACAACAGUAAAACCUUUCUUCCUUUUCUUUCCUUUCCUCUCCUCUCCUCUUCUUUUCUUUUUUAGACAGGGUUUUAUGUAUUCCAGGCUGGCCUCCAACUUGCUAUAUAGCUGAGAAUGACUUUGAACUCCCUAUCCUCCUGUAUAUACCUUUUGGGCGUUGGGCAUUACAGCAUGUGCCAUUAAACUGGGUGUACAUUGUAGUGGGGAUGGAAUCCAGGGCCUUCUGAAUGUUAGGCCUCAGUAAAAAAAAGAAAAUUUAAUAUAGAUUCAAUGUUUGAACCAAUAUCUUGAACCUAGUUUUGUUUUUUCUUUUUGAUUCCUUUCUUUCCUUCUUUUUCUUCCUUUCUUUUUUUUCUGAGACAGGGUUUUUCUGCACCUUUGGAGGCUGUUCUGGAAUUCGCUCUGUAGACCAGGCUGGCCUCAAACUCACAGAGAUCCAACUGUCUCUGCCUUCCAAGUGCUGGUAUUAAAGGUGUGCACCACCACUGCCUGGCCCUUUUUGAUUUCUUGAAACAGGGUUUUCUGUGUAUCCUCAGCUGUUCUGGAACUCACUUUGUAGACCAGGCUGGCCUUAAACUCAUGGAGGUCCACCUGCCUCUGCCUCCCAAAUGCUGGGAUUAAGGUGUGUGCUUCCGACUUGUCGGAUCUCUGUGAGUUCGAGGCCAGCCUGGUCUACAGAGAGCCAGGAUAGGCUUCAAAGCUACACAGAGAAACCCUGUCUCGAAAAACAAAAAACAAAAAACAAAGAGGAGGAGGAGGAGGAGGAGGAGGAGGAGGAGGAUGAUGAGGAGGAAGGGAUUGACUUUGUGUUUAUAUGUGCUAUGUGUGUGUGUGAGCCUGCCUGAGCAUAUGUGCACCACAUGAGUGCAGAAGCCUGUGGAAGUCAGAGCAAGUCAUAAUUGGAUGCCCUGGAACUGGGGUUACAGUGGUUGCCAGCUGCCAUGUGGGUGCCAGGAACCAAAGCCAUGUCCUCUGCAGCAGGAGCAGUAGUCAUCUUUGCCUCUGAGCCAUCGUCAACAUCCUCUUCUGCUUUGUUUGGAAACAGGUUCUCUCUAUGUAGCCUUAGCUGGCCUGGAACUUGCUAUGUAGGUCAGGCCUUGACUUUAGAGAUCUUCCUGUCUCUGUCUCCCUUGCACUGUGAUUAGGGACAUGUGCCACCCUGUUUAUUUAUGUACUUAGUAGUCGUUCCAAGAAGACCCCCCUCCCCCCCCACCCCAGGCUGAGAGUUGAACCCAGGCUUUCACGCCAGGCAAAAGCUUCGCCACGGAUCUACACCUCCAACUCUUAGUCUUCUGAGAUGGGUGUUGCUCUUGAAGCCCAGACUGGUGUUGACUUUAUAGUCCUCCUGCCUCAGCCUCCUGGUGCUGCAGCAAUGCCAGACACGCACCUCUACAGUUGGUGGAGUAUUUACUUAAUACGGUUUCCCUGCUCCUGCUCUCUAAAUCAUCUGAUUAUUUAACCAAGGUGGACCUGAGAUCUACACGCAUCAGCUACCCCAGGACCCCAGGUGACUGAUGUGCUGGGAGGUGCAGAGGAAGAAAGACCUUGAGUCCAAUGCACAGAGCUCCCUUCCGGGAUCUGGAAGGUACCGUGUGUUCAGGAGCAGGGGCAGGCUCCUUUGGUCUUCUGCCUUCACUGAAGUUCCUGGGUAACUCGGAAGCUCCUGGUUAGAGGUCCACACUCCUAGUAGCAAAGGCUCAGAGCAGGCUCUCCAUUCCCCUCCCCCUCCUCUGGCUCUCUCUCCCUUCCUUUCUCUUUUUCCUUCCUCUUUCUCCUCCCCCGUCCAUCCCUUUCUUUUCUUUCAUUUUUCUUUUUCCUUCCCUCCUCCUCUUCUUCCUUCUCUUCAUUUUUUGCUGAGAUGGGGUCUUUUUCUGUAACCUCGUUGGCCUGGCAUUUGGUACAGACCACACUGACCUCAAACUUUCAAUUACUCUUCUACUUCUGGUUCCUGGUUCUGGGAUUACAGACUUGUGCUAUGUGCCACCAUGGCAGUUAGGUGCUGAUUCUCAACAUCUGAUCUCAGAGGAGGAGGAGGAGGAAAAGGAGGAAGAAGAAGCAGCAGCAGCACCAGGGAGGGGCAGCAACUGGAAGCCUUAGGCACAUGGAUAUCUCAGGCCUCAUUCCAACCUCUUCCAUCCCGGAGCUCGGCAGCCAUAUGCUCUGAGUCAGCCCUGAUGGAGAUGCUGCUGGCUCCCCGGGUUUGAGAACUUUUAGUUAAUGUUGGAGCAUCUUAUCCUAACACAAAGGCCCUGCCCCUCCUCCAGCAUCUUCACUGGGCAGGCAGUCCCAAGUUAUGGCCUUGCACAGAGGCAGGCCUUCUGUUGCCUGGAGCCCCACCCUGGAUGGCCUGCCUUCUCCCUGCAUCCCCUAGCAUGGCAGCACACAUGGUUUAGCCAGGAUGACAAGAGGGUUCCGUCUAUUGGAGGGUUGACAGGACUCCCAUCACAGCUUGAUUGACAGCCCCCUAAUCAGCAGCAAGAGAAUGGUAUGCCUCUAGAAUGAUGUUUGCUCUGUAAAUAUUUGACAUUAUCUACCCUGAAAACCUGAAAGAGAACUUCAUUUUUCUUUCUUUUUCUGGGAAUACAGCAAGUCACAGAACACCCAUAAGUAUAAUUAGUCUGACAAGGGAGUUUCUGAUUGGGGCUGGGGACUUAACAUGCGUGAGCAAUCACAGGCAUCCAUGUUGGCUUUGUGGUACAUGAGAGUGGUUCAUCUGUGGCCACAGGACUCCCAGUGACGUCAAGGCAUGUUGCAGAUGCUUGGGGAGGACUAGGGCCUGGGAGUCUGCAUUUCAAGCCAGCUCCUGGGAGCUGCUGCUGCCGAGGGGAAGGAACAACAUGACAGGUAGGAGCUGCACAACCUUCUUGCUGCUGAUGCCAAUCUCAAGUCCAGGAAUGGCUCAGAGGUCAUUGAGGGUCAUUUGAUGGGUUUGGGUUUCAAGUCUUAUUCUACAGAUUGCCAGAGGCAUGCCCAGUUCUCUGUUUAUGGACAGCACUAAUAAUCUCUCUCUCUCUCUCUCUCUCUCUCUCUCUCUCUCUCUUUUCUCUCUCUCUCUCUGUGUGUGUGUGUAAUAUUAAAAAUAUAUUUGAGGUGGGGUUUCCCUGUGUAGCCCUGGCACUCAACUCUGUAGACCAGGCUGGUCUUGAAUUCACCGAGAGCUGCCUUCCUCUGCGUCCUGAGUGCUGGGAUUAAAGGCGUGUGACACCAUGCCCCGCUAUAAAAGUACUUUCAUUUAUGUUGUAAAUGUGUAUGGGUAUAUGUGCCACAUUGAGUGCAGGUUAGAGGACAACUUUGAGAGUUGUCUCCCCCUCAUGUGGGUCCCAGGGAUUGAGCUUAUGUCAGCAGGCUUGGCAGCAAGCUCCUUUACCUGCUGAGCCAUCUUGUUGACUCUUAUUUUUAACUUGAGGGGGUUUUCUUUCCACGUCUCUCUCUUCAUAUGAUUUUGUUCAUUUUGUUUUACUUUUUUGAACUGGGGAUUCAACCUAGGACUUCAAACAUGCUAAGGAAGCCCCGGGCCACUGAGCUACAUCCUCAGCCCUACCUUUUAUUUUGAGACACGGACUCACUUUGUUGCUCAGACUAGCUUGGAACACUGGAGCCAUCACAGACCUCAGAAUUAGGAACUUCUUGCCUUAGUUAUGAUUACAGGUCUCAGUCAUCAGACUCAGCUUCCUUAUUAUAUCUAUUUUUUAAUUUUAAAAAAUAUUUUUCUUUCCUUGUCAGUGGUGGUACCAGCCUUUAAUCACAGCACUCAGGAGGCAGAGCAGGCUGAUCUCUAAGUUGUAAGCCAGUCUGGUCUAACAGAGUGAGUUCCAGGACAGCCAGGGCUACACAGAGAAAAAAAUCUAUAUCCAUAUAUCUAUAUC